ensembl:lncRNA
CCCUCUCCUUGAUCCUGGGUUCAGCUGUUGCUGUUUAGGGAUCUUGAACUCAAUGAAGGCAGGAAAGGGUGAGGAGUUAUUCUGCUUUGGGGGGAAAAGGUCCGAGACCUGCCCCUUUCUCCUACUUUUCCCCUUGAUUCUGAGCCAAGGCAUAAUCGUUCCCUGAUCACUUCCCCAGAGGGAACAAGCAUCUGCCUCCAUCCUUGGGUCCUCUUCUUUCUCAUGAAGCAAAGCUUUCCUCUUCAAUCAGAAGAAACUCGAUCACACCUGUCUGGUUCCCCACAAGUUUCUGGAGGGAUGCCUGACACAUCAUAGCCCCUCAGAAAAUUAAUUCUCAGAUGAUGUUGCAGAUCUGAUAGAAUUCACAAGAGAAGGUGAGGCA